CGGUUCUGGACAAGCAAAGUGAGCACGAUUGUCUCACCAGGAUACUGGAAGGAAGAACACCACUUGGAAACAGGCCGGACCAACACAAGCAGAGAAUAGUCAGACAGGCCAGAACCAGGAUUGGAGAGCGUAGAAUAGUCAGCGGACAGGCAAAUGGUCAGGAUAGGAGAGAUCAGAGUAGUCACCGGCAGGAAAGGGUCAAUAUCAGUAAUAACAAGCAGGAUUCACUAAGGAAAGUGACCAGGAACAAACAAAUCGAACCUAACAACGGGAAAUGUUUUUUACUACAAAGCCGAUUUAAAUACUUUGAAUUUCGCGCCGUUUGCGCGAUGACGUCAUCAUGCCGACACAUAAAUCCGGAAGCGUGCAGCCAUGCGCCCCAUAAAGAAACCGACCCUAGGGGAAGACGGCAGCAUACGGCGGGGACCCCGCCGCCCAUUAGACCACCAGGAUGAGUCCUUACACCAUCCAACACUUUUUACCAUCCACUGUGCCUCUCCUAACACCCUCUGAUGCAUUACUAUCGCAUUACUAUAGCAUUACUAUCCACCUAAUCAGUAUCCAUAGACAGAUGCUUACUAUUCACCUACUCAGAAAUAAAAACCAACUGCACAAGCACAUAUAAAUAAUAUACAGUUCAUUAUAAAAUCAUUAAAAGUCAUCUUUAUUUUAUGCUAAUUAAAACGAUAUAAAUUUCUUGUCUUAAAACAUCUAUGCCAAACAUUGCAACUUUCACUCACAUGAGAAAAAGUACAUAUUUGAUCCCAACAAGAGAAAAACAACUGGUCGCAUGAUUGUUCAGUACACUCCACACACUCAGUAACAAGCUGAUUCUAUUGAACUGCAUUGCUGAUAUUAUUCCAGCAGACAUAUGUAGAAAGUACUAUGCUGCUGCUUGGCAAUUAAUUUUUUUUCUAAUCAAGAUUCUACAAAAUGAGGAAUAUCAUGCAAUAGCAGCAGUAAAUGGCUUCCGGAGAGACACCAUUUUGCAAGAAAAACUACAAGAAUAUCAUUUAGUCAACCAUCCUGGAUUAGCCCAUGAUUCUGGACUGGCUGGAUGAAGAUCUGAAAAGUCUUCUGCGAAAAAAAUGUCACUAACUUCCAAAUAAAACAAGAGGACGGCUUUCUGGUAUACAGAGCGGUUCUUUUCUGCUAAGAAAUAGUUUCACUGAUUAUCCUGAUUAUCCAAUUCUGCAAUGCAGAGUGUCUGUACCAAGGAGUGAUUUUUCAUGCUGCUUGACUCCCUCUAGUGGUUCACUCACAACCGUAUGCAUCCAAUAAAACUCUGCAGCAAUGUCUGUAUAUUUAUUGAUUUUC